AGACGUCUACAUUAGAUACCCGGGUAGUCCCAGCCGUAAACGAUGCGCGUUAGGUGUAUCGGUGACCACGAGUUACCGAGGUGCCGAAGGGAAACCGUGAAACGUGCCGCCUGGGAAGUACGGUCGCAAGGCUGAAACUUAAAGGAAUUGGCGGGGAGCACCACAACGGGUGGAGCCUGCGGUUUAAUUGGACUCAACGCCGGGAAGCUCACCGGAUAAGACAGCGGAAUGAUUGCCGGGCUGAAGACUCUGCAUGACCAGCUG
rnacentral:rRNA from 1 species